rnacentral:rRNA from 1 species
GGGACACGUGGUAUCCUGUCUGAAUAUGGGGGGACCAUCCUCCAAGGCUAAAUACUCCUGACUGACCGAUAGUGAACCAGUACCGUGAGGGAAAGGCGAAAAGAACCCCGGCGAGGGGAGUGAAAAAGAACCUGAAACCGUGUACGUACAAGCAGUGGGAGCCUCUUUUAUGGGGUGACUGCGUACCUUUUGUAUAAUGGGUCAGCGACUUAUAUUCUGUAGCAAGGUUAACCGAAUAGGGGAGCCGAAGGGAAACCGAGUCUUAACUGGGCGUUAAGUUGCAGGGUAUAGACCCGAAACCCGGUGAUCUAGCCAUGGGCAGGUUGAAGGUUGGGUAACACUAACUGGAGGACCGAACCGACUAAUGUUGAAAAAUUAGCGGAUGACUUGUGGCUGGGGGUGAAAGGCCAAUCAAACCGGGAGAUAGCUGGUUCUCCCCGAAAGCUAUUUAGGUAGCGCCUCGUGAACUCAUCUCCGGGGGUAGAGCACUGUUUCGGCAAGGGGGUCAUCCCGACUUACCAACCCGAUGCAAACUGCGAAUACCGGAGAAUGUUAUCACGGGAGACACACGGCGGGUGCUAACGUCCGUCGUGAAGAGGGAAACAACCCAGACCGCCAGCUAAGGUCCCAAAGUCAUGGUUAAGUGGGAAACGAUGUGGGAAGGCCCAGACAGCCAGGAUGUUGGCUUAGAAGCAGCCAUCAUUUAAAGAAAGCGUAAUAGCUCACUGGUCGAGUCGGCCUGCGCGGAAGAUGUAACGGGGCUAAACCAUGCACCGAAGCUGCGGCAGCGACACUAUGUGUUGUUGGGUAGGGGAGCGUUCUGUAAGCCUGUGAAGGUGUGCUGUGAGGCAUGCUGGAGGUAUCAGAAGUGCGAAUGCUGACAUAAGUAACGAUAAAGCGGGUGAAAAGCCCGCUCGCCGGAAGACCAAGGGUUCCUGUCCAACGUUAAUCGGGGCAGGGUGAGUCGACCCCUAAGGCGAGGCCGAAAGGCGUAGUCGAUGGGAAACAGGUUAAUAUUCCUGUACUUGGUGUUACUGCGAAGGGGGGACGGAGAAGGCUAUGUUGGCCGGGCGACGGUUGUCCCGGUUUAAGCGUGUAGGCUGGUUUUCCAGGCAAAUCCGGAAAAUCAAGGCUGAGGCGUGAUGACGAGGCACUACGGUGCUGAAGCAACAAAUGCCCUGCUUCCAGGAAAAGCCUCUAAGCAUCAGGUAACAUCAAAUCGUACCCCAAACCGACACAGGUGGUCAGGUAGAGAAUACCAAGGCGCUUGAGAGAACUCGGGUGAAGGAACUAGGCAAAAUGGUGCCGUAACUUCGGGAGAAGG